rnacentral:rRNA from 1 species
AGCAGCCGCGGUAAUUCCAGCUCCAAUAGCGUAUAUUAAAGUUGUUGCAGUUAAAAAGCUCGUAGUUGAAUUUCGGGACCAAUAUGUCGGUCGUGCUUCGGUACGUACUUGCAUUAUUGGUUUCUCCCUUCUGAAGAACCAUGAUGUCAUUAAUUUGGUGUCUUGGGGAAUCAGGACUGUUACUUUGAAAAAAUUAGAGUGUUUAAAGCAGGCUCACGCUUGAAUACAUUAGCAUGGAAUAAUGAAAUAGGACGUUUGAUUCUAUUUUGUUGGUUUCUAGGAUCGACGUAAUGAUUAAUAGGGAUAGUUGGGGGCAUUAGUAUUCAAUUGUCAGAGGUGAAAUUCUUGGAUUUAUUGAAGACUAACUACUGCGAAAGCAUUUGCCAAGGAUGUUUUCAUUAAUCAAGAACGAAAGUUAGGGGAUCGAAGACGAUCAGAUACCGUCGUAGUCUUAACCAUAAACUAUGCCGACUAGGGAUCGGAUGAUGUUAAUUUUUUAAUGACUCA